CAGGAAGUAGUUUAAUUAGAACGUCAGCUUUGGGUGCUGAUAGUGAGGAGGAUAAUCCUCCUCAUGA
rnacentral:tRNA from 1 species